rnacentral:lncRNA from 1 species
AGACAUGCACACAUCCAUUGCCACACUUUAAGCCUAUUACUUGUCCACAAACAAUAAAUUAAGUUUAAGUCUAUUUAAAAUAUUUAUUUCCUUUGAAAACAUUUACGUUGCGGAAGCUUUGCUCGGUUAUCGUGAUAUUUUAAAAAUAAGUAACUUUUAUAAAACGCGCCCUAGAGCUAACCAAUUUAAUAACCCAAAAUAUUAAAAAUAAUAAAAAGAGCGGCUUUAUUACAACUUUAACCAGGAUAAAAAUAAUCAAAAUAAUAAAUGCGAAACUUAUUUUAAAGAAAACAAAACUUAAUCUUCGUGGCCACUCUGAAUCCUGCCCAGCUCCAAGCCCAUCGAUCUAAGGCUCACCUGCAAAGAUGGGAAAAAGGGGGGUGAGUUUGGAAAACUCAGUGUGUAAAGUAUCCCAACCAGAGCCCAAAUCAGUUCAAGCUUUACUAGGCCUAAGCCCUAUUCAGAAUUUAGUGUUAACUGGGCCUUAGCCCAUAUCAAUAUUAAUCUGGGCCAUAGCCCCUUACAGUAAUAGAGUAUACUGGGCCUAGCCCAUAUCAGUAUCAAUCUGGGCCGUAGCCCUAUUACAAGUCGAGAUAUAUUGGGCCUUGCCCAUAUUGACACAGUUGGGCCCAUUUUAAUACAGUUGGCCCAUAAUAAAACAGUCUCAUAUGAUUAAUGCAUGAUAACCCCAUCCAACCCUGCACUUCCCUCCGUCCAUCCCUACACUUCCUGUAGGGAAUAAAUCACCCACGCCAUCCCUACACUUACAGUGUUAGCACCGGUUGCGGCACUAACUAUAAUCCGCAGCAAAGCUGCUUAUAUCAGAAUACGUGGCACAGCCGCUAGAACAGGUUCUUCCUCCAUAACAAAACCCAACCCCAUGCAACAGAUAUACAUGUCAUGGCAUACAACAAACAUAAUCAGAAUAUCAUGCAUUUCAGUCAAAAUUAACCCUAGGGGUAUAACGGUCAUUUUGCACCUAGAGGUAAAAUGGUAAUUUUCAUACUUAGGAGUAUUUUAGUAAAAUUUACUAUUCUAGAGUUUACAUAUAUAUUAUAACCAUUAACACAUUAACAGAAGCACUUACCGAGUGUUUUUACCGAAUUGGGCCCGUUGGCCCACUAACUCAUUUUCGACCCAUUAAGCCCAAAUAUACCGAAGUGCACGAAAUUGCGCACUCUGCAAUCAUACUGCUUGUGAUUACCAAAAUUAACAACCAAACCACCUCACAAGCGCUCGCACGCUCGUAAGUUCACAAAUGCCGGCUUUUCGGCUUUUGCCGAUCUAGUCUAUGAGUUGGUGUCGUUUACACACCUGUUUUUCGACGAAACGUUGACGAGUUCCACACACGAGUUGCCUACAAUCAGUUACUAACACGUUAAACUAUGAAUCCAUAACAACUUAACACAUCAAUCCCUUACCAUAUUUGGCCCUUAACACCUUAGGCACUAAAGUUCUUACCUUUGUCGAAAAAAUGGACUAGAUCUAAUUCUGGUCGUUCCAAAUAUCCAAGCCCUCGAUUAGUAGCCUUUAAUCCACACUAGAGCAAAACAAAUCAAAUAACACCACUAAACCCUUUUAGUUUAGUCGACAGACACCCUUUGCAUAUAGGGGUUUUCGGCUUUUCUUUAAAUCCCGAAAUAAAGAAUGAAAAUAAGAUUCUGAGUACUUACCACCAAUGAUGUACUUGUCAAGAGCGUUUCAAACACUUCCCCAAUCUCAGAUCCACAGUGAAUCCAAUCUUAGAAUGCGAGUAGAGAAUAGAACUAGAUAUUAAUUCCCGAAUCACUAAAAUAUGAGGCUUUUCGGCUUUUGGAUCUAUCCUAGAAUAUGGCUAUUGCGAUCUAAAAGAAAAAAAAAUAGGUGACGAUAAGUUCACCAUCGAAGAGACAAUCAGUAGAGGAAGAGGUGUAGGAUUAUAGGUUCGGUCUUUUUAAAGAUUAAAAGGAAAUGAGAUAUGGUUUCAACCAAAGGAAUAAUCGGCAACCAAUAUUUGAGAAGAAAAAAUUGUUUUAAAAAGAAUUUGGCUUCGAGGAAAGAAAAUAGAAAAGGAGAAAAUUGUUCAGCUUUUGGGAAAAAAUAGAAAAGAAUAUGAGCAAAAGAAAUAAGAUAAGAUUAGAAUAAAAUAAAAUAAAAUCCUUUUCCAACUUUAAUUCCUUCCUUAUCUGCUUAAUUCAUGGCCAAAUUCAAAGUUUGAAUUUAAUUCAAACUCUCCACUGCUGAGCAGCAGUCCACCGCUCAGCCGACUCCUCUUGUUGCUGGUAGCGUUUCAAUCCCGUACGACCCUUCCCACGCACGUACAGCAAAAAGAUGCACCCUCCUCCUGCACGUAACGCUACUCGAACCUGGGACCUCCAGGUUGCCCAGCACGUUGCUGGCCACUGGGUCGCGCAUUUGUUUUCAAUCAUAUACCCGCACAUCUUAUCUUAAAGGUUACCUGCUGAAGUCUCGUACAUUUUAAAAAUAUAACAUUAAACAUACCUUCGCCUGGACUCGAACCCAUACCCUUGUGAAACUCCUAGCACCCUAAUGCCACUGCGCCAUAAGCUCUUUUUGUGUUAAAUUAUACUUGCAACUCCGCUUAAUCCUUAUUCUAGCCGCCACCUGCAUAUUAAAAAAAUCCUAAAUUGCGCCCGCCGCGCCUUGAACCCAGGCACCUCCCUAGCGCCCUCCUAACGUUCUUAGCCACUGGGCCAGAUGCCUACUUCUGACAUGAAUUAGCCUGAACAAUUAAUAAGGCCUACCUGCGACAGCCCUUGGUUUUUCUAAAAAAAAACCCACAUUUGCGCACGCAAGGAAUCGAACCGCUGCUCCUUUCCUACUGCUUAACACGCCUAACCACUAGGCCAGACUAUUCCUUAUGUCCAAUUUUAGCCCAACUUAUUAAUAAACCUUAAUGCCCAGAUCCCCUAAAGAAGUAAAAAUAAUAAUUUUUGCUAGUCUUGGAUCGAAUUUUUCCCGCACUUUAAAUACUUCUAAAUUUAUUUAAAAACUAAAAUAAUAAUAGUAACCAUAAUAAUGAAAAUUUCAAAUAUGAUAAUAUAUAUAUUUUUUGCCAAAUAAUAAUAAUUAUAAUUUUCAUAAAUCAAUAAAAAUAAAUACAGUAAAUUUUUCUAAUAAUAAUAAUUUUAUCUCUUAAUACUAAUUAAAAUUUCAUAAAAAUUUAAAAUAUCCGUAAUAAUAAAUAUAGUAAAAAUUUUCUAGUAGUAAUUUAAUUCAAAAUUUUUUCUUAAACGAUAAUAUUUAAAACUUCUUAAUUAUUCAGGUUUUCUUCUAUCCAAAUCCCAGACUCAAAACCCAACUCUUCUAGGCUCAAUUAUUGGGGUGUUACACACCGGCCUUCCACGUGUCUGACACCUGCAAGACAAAACUAACACGCAAAAUACAAGAACAAAGAAGAAAAAAAAAAUAGUAGCAGACAACAAGCAAAAAACAAAAAUGAAUCUAUGUAAUUCGGUUAUAAAAGCCGAAACAUCCCUUUGUUUUUUUUCUUUUUCUUGGUUACGAAACAUCAGAAAAUAGAAAUAACAAAAAAGGAAAAUUUCAAGAAGGUGAUUUUCAUCUUUAUUUUUGUUUUAGAUUCUUGCUUUGUUCCUUUUAUUCUAUUUUUCUUCAUUUUUUGCAUAUAAAUAUUAAGUAAUAAUAAUAAAAGAGGGGAAAAAGGGACUCACCGGGGUUGAAAAGCCCAUCUUCGCGCACUGUCGACCACCGAGUACGGUGGUGGUACAGCGGGUGGUGAAGGAAUCUGAUUCGUCGGAGAAACAAGUUGGGGAGAGGGUGUUUUGUGUUUUUUUUUCUUUGGAAAACAAAAGAGAACGACAGAUAAAAAAAAUUUGGUUUUAUUUCACCCUUGAAAUGACGUCGUUUGGGGGGUGGGGUCUGCACACUUUCCCUAAAAGGAAAAUUUUUGCGUUUAGUCAUUCUCUCCCGCAACUCCACGCAAUCAGGCCCCCAUUUUCU